GAUGAACGCUGGCGGCGUGCUUAACACAUGCAAGUCGAACGGAAAGGCCCAAGCUUGCUUGGGUGCUCGAGUGGCGAACGGGUGAGUAACACGUGGGUGAUCUGCCCUGCACUUCGGGAUAAGCCUGGGAAACUGGGUCUAAUACCGGAUAGGACCACAUUCUGGAUGGUGUGGUGGAAAGUUUUUCGGUGUGGGAUGAGCUCGCGGCCUAUCAGCUUGUUGGUGGGGUAAUGGCCUACCAAGGCGUCGGCGGGUAGCCGGCCUGGGAGGGUGUACGGCCACAAUGGGACUGGGGUACGGCCCAGACUCCUACGGGAGGGAGCAGGGGGGAAUAUUGCACAAUGGGGGCGAGCCUGAUGCAGGGAAGCCGGGUGGGGGAUGACGGCCUUCGGGUUGUAAACUCCUUUCGCUAGGGACGAAGCGUUAUGUGACGGUACCUGGUGAAGAAGCACCGGCUAACUACGUG
rnacentral:rRNA from 1 species